AAUUAGUAGGUUUGGUAUGAAAUAUCAAAAUAAGUAGAAGAAUUUGAACGUUUUUGUAAUAUAAAUCUGGCCAUUUGAUGAAUAUACAAUCAUACAAUUAUUAAUAAUGGUCAGUAGCAGUCCCGGUAUCAUCAUCAACAGUUCUCCCAGCUCCAUUGGCAGAAAUGCGUCGUGUCACUUAGUAAUUUCUGAAAGUAAAGAAUAUAAAGCGUAGUUUUUUCCAACACAACUGUACCUCAUUCACCAUCACCGUUUGCGAUUCUGGAAUAUCACCAUCGUCUUCUUUGACUCCUUCGCCAUCGCCAUAUCUAUCGCCAUUGGCAUUGCUAUUGCCAUCGCGAGCCAUCGGUAUUGCCCAUUCUCCACUCUGGUCCCCAGCCUUGCACCCUUUCAGCAGCCGCUCGGGUGAUUUAAAAAUUUAAUACCUCGCGGCUAUUAAUGGUGGAAAAUGCUUGCGUAAUAAAACAAAACGCAACAACGCGGACUGGGAGAAAUGGGAAUGAUGGAAUAGGAAUGGGAGUGGGAGUGGGAAUGGAAGUGAAAAUGGCCUGGUAUGGCGUUGGAUUGUUAUAUUGGUGGUGGUCGGUAUGCGCAGGACGCCUGCCCACAUCUUUUCAAAAACUGGAACAGGACAACACAGGACAUGAAGGACAAGGCGACAAAGGAGAAGCGAGAAAAAUCAAAAGAAAUAAAUAUGGCGCGUGUUUUGCCAAAAGAAGAAAUUUUAAUUUAAAAUAUUGAUGAUGACGACAACAAAAGCAACAUCGAAAUCGCCAACUCUGUUGGGAUUGCCUUUCUUAGAAGGGCAACCUCUGCUUCACUUAGAGUGUUGGCGUUUGAAGGAAACAAAAAAAGAAAAGAACAUUUUUUUCUCGUGAUGUAUCUUAAGUUUUAAUGUUGGCCCUAUGGCACCUCUCAUUCUCCGUGUCGUUUCGAUUCCGAAAUGGUAUGGAGUCGACUCAGAAGAACAUACGUACAUAGUGUAAAAGCGUCUCGGACGUUGUCCUAACAACUAGAUGAUGGGACGAUUUGCAAGUAUUCGAAGCAAGUGUUCGAAUCUUGAAUUGACUUUUAUAUUUACUCGUAAAGCUUAGUUUCAAUUGUAACUUCAAUUGUAAACUCUUUCCGAUAAAGAAAUACAAAGCUACGAAUUCUAUACAUUUAUGUUAACAUAAAUUCAAAAUAAAUUUGUAUACUCUGAAAUAGUCAUAGAAAUAUUGUCAGUAAAUUUAGUCAAAAUAAAUUCGAAUAUUUAAAUAAUAAACUAAUAUUUUCAAGAGAAAAUUAUUUGAUGGACAUUAAGUUCGAGUAAGAAGAUUCUGUUAAACUUUAAUAUAAACAAGUAAAAAAGCUGCCAUCGGCUACCGUUUUUUAUAAUAGCAAACAGGCGUGGUAUUAGCAGAAAAAUGUACCGAAUUAAUAAAUUAAAAAAUUCUGAAAUAUAUCAAAACAAUGCAAAAUAUACGAGAGUGUUUAAUAACUUCUAAGUUGUUUUAUUUGAUUGUAAUCAAUUCAUAAAGACGUUAGUCAAUAUCGACUCUACUCUGCAAAUUAUACUUGCAAUUCGUUUUUGUGAAAAAAUCAUAAACAAGCUGAUUU